UACAGAGGGUGCGAGCGUUAAUCGGAGUUACUGGGCGUAAAGGGCGCGUAGGCGGUUAGUAAGGUGUGAUGUGAAAGCCCCGGGCUCAACCUGGGAAGUGCAUCGCAAACAGACUAACUGGAGUAUAAGAGAGGGUGGCGGAAUUUCCGGUGUAGCGGUGAAAUGCGUAGAGAUCGGAAGGAACGUCGAUGGCGAAGGCAGCCACCUGGCUUAAUACUGACGCUGAGGCGCGAAAGCGUGGGGAGCGAAC
rnacentral:rRNA from 1 species